rnacentral:rRNA from 1 species
UAAGUCCGUUAGCCAAGGUAACCCGUAGAGUUUGAUCCUGGCUCAGGAUGAACGCUGGCGGUAUGCUUAACACAUGCAAGUCGAACGGUGUCUUCGGACAUAGUGGCGGACGGGUGAGUAACGCGUGAGAAUCUAGCUUCAGGUCUGGGACAACCACUGGAAACGGUGGCUAAUACCGGAUGUGCCGGAAGGUGAAAGGCUUGCUGCCUGAAGAUGAGCUCGCGUCCGAUUAGCUAGUAGGUGGGGUAAGAGCCUACCUAGGCGACGAUCGGUAGCUGGUCUGAGAGGAUGACCAGCCACACUGGGACUGAGACACGGCCCAGACUCCUACGGGAGGCAGCAGUGGGGAAUUUUCCGCAAUGGGCGAAAGCCUGACGGAGCAAUACCGCGUGAGGGAGGAAGGCUCUUGGGUUGUAAACCUCUUUUCUCAGGGAAGAACACAAUGACGGUACCUGAGGAAUCAGCAUCGGCUAACUCCGUGCCAGCAGCCGCGGUAAUACGGAGGAUGCAAGCGUUAUCCGGAAUGAUUGGGCGUAAAGCGUCCGCAGGUGGCUGUGUAAGUCUGCUGUCAAAGAGCAAAGCUCAACUUUGUAAAGGCAGUGGAAACUACACGGCUAGAGUGCGUUCGGGGCAGAGGGAAUUCCUGGUGUAGCGGUGAAAUGCGUAGAGAUCAGGAAGAACACCGGUGGCGAAGGCGCUCUGCUAGGCCGCAACUGACACUGAGGGACGAAAGCUAGGGGAGCGAAUGGGAUUAGAUACCCCAGUAGUCCUAGCUGUAAACGAUGGAUACUAGGCGUGGCUUGUAUCGACCCGAGCCGUGCCGUAGCUAACGCGUAAGUUCCCGCAUGGGAGACCCC